CACGUAGGGUGCGAGCGUUGUCCGGAAUUAUUGGGCGUAAAGAGCUCGUAGGCGGUGUGUCGCGUCGGCCGUGAAAACCUGCAGCUUAACUGUGGGCUUGCGGUCGAUACGGGCAUCACUGGAGUUCGGCAGGGGAGACUGGAAUUCCUGGUGUAGCGGUGAAAUGCGCAGAUAUCAGGAGGAACACCGGUGGCGAAGGCGAGUCACUGGGCCGAUACUGACGCUGAGGAGCGAAAGCGUGGGGAGCGAACGGG
rnacentral:rRNA from 1 species